rnacentral:misc_RNA from 1 species
GAUGAAGAACGUAGCGAAAUGCGAUACGUAAUGUGAAUAGCAAAUUCAGUGAAUCAUCGAGUCUUUGAACGCACAUUGCGCCCCCUGGUAUUCCGGGGGGCAUGCCUGUCCGAGCGUCAUUGCUGCCCUCAAGCACGGCUUGUGUGUUGGGCCCCGUCCUCCGAUCCCGGGGGACGGGCCCGAAAGGCAGCGGCGGCACCGCGUCCGGUCCUCGAGCGUAUGGGGCUUUGUCACCCGCUCUGUAGGCCCGGCCGGCGCUUGCCGAUCAACCCAAAUUUUUAUCCAGGUUGACCUCGGAUCAGGUAGGGAUACCCGCUGAACUUAAGCAUAUCAAUAAGCGGAGGA